CUCCAGGCAAGAAUACUGGAGUUCCUAAAUAUCUGACUGCCGAAAAACCAAAGUGAAUUCACUUUUUUGUGUACUAUUAGUUAAUUCUGAAUUGUGAUAACUCAGUCAAGGUAGGUAGAUCUUACCUUUUCAAUAGGAAGAAUAAAAGAAGACCAGAGACAUCUACUGAGUUUUCACCCCAAAUCCAGAGACUGUUAGUACGUCUGGGUGCGUGAGGAACUUUCGGUGGCUGUGAGUAAAAGCCAGGAGACCAUCUAGGAUAACACUUACGUAGCCUACACAAGAUGGAGGCAGAAAAGGGAAAGGAAAGAAUUUAAGAUAUAUUUUUAAAAUAGAACUAACAGGAUUUGCUCAUGCACUGUACUCACGUUCCUCUCUUAGGAACCGCAUGGACUAUAGCCUGCCAGGCUCCUCUGUCCGUGGGAUUCACCAGGCAAGAAUACUGCAAUGAGAUGCCAUUUCCUUCUCUGAUGUAUUGGAUAUUUGUGGGCAAAGAUGAAAGAAAGGGAGCCAUGAAAAGUGGCUUCUACGUCUUGCCUUGAGCAAUUUGUGGAUAUGCAAUUGCCUGAGGUGGGGGUGAUUGGAGUUGGGUUGGGAGAAAAGUUGGCAGUGUAAUCAAGGACUUGCUUCACUCACUUGUUACUACCAUAGCUCCCGAAGGCAUUUUAAUUUAUUUUUUUUUUCCCCUCUAAGUGGAUGGUGAAGAGGAAACCCCAGAUCAAGCCUGGAGCUCUCUGAAAUGGAAAGGGAGGUGAGGAGAAGAGAAGGAGCUGACGAAGGAGACUGAGAAAGGGAAGGCCAACAAGAAAAUUUCAAAUCACAAAUGAACAGUGCUUAACAGUGCAAAGCACAUGAACAGUGCUUAUCUGAUAAAAUAUAUCAACAAGAAUCUGGGACUGAACACGACAAACGAGUAGAGGCUCCUGCCCUGCCCGCUAGGCUGUCAAGGCUGCUUGCUUCUUCUACGCUGCUCUCCGUAGGGAGUGAGAGGCAAGAAGGCCGAGCGAAGUUCACCGGCACCGAGAAGCUCUGAAUUCUGCUCUGCCUGAAACAGCAGCUGCACUCGCCUCCGGCACCUCCCCAGCAGCUCAUAGACUAUGCCCUGCAGCAGGGUUCAACCUCGCCAGAUCCUUUUGCUCCUCCAUCAAGAAAGAAUUACUCUGACUUCUUUUGGAGUAAGCUAAGUUCUCACUCACCUCUUGGUCCCUUUUUUAAUCACUGAAAAUGCUUCAGGGUUCCUACUCAUUAAGUAUUUGAGUCAAAAGUUUUGGAUAGUUUUAUUUGUAUUUUUUGGAAAAAUGCAGGAGCAACCAGACAGCCUUCCUACUCCACCUCCACCUCCUCGAAUAAAACUCUUAUUUGGUGGACUGUGGGUUAUCUACCGUGAUCUCUUUCUACUGCGUUCCUAGCGUGCCAACUAGAAAAAUUACAGGUACUAUGUUUACACAGCCUGCAUUUCUGUUUACAAAAUCUCUCUGCGGAGUUUGCGAAGUUGGUUAUUUGUUUCGUUUCUUCCUCCCCCACUCCCCUUUUUUUUGUGGCUGCACCUGUCGAUCCGACUCUGAAACCAGUUUCCGACAGGGGAAGUCAGGGGGUGAGGUACCCAUCAAACUGGUUUGACUGCUUGAAGAUGGCUGGUUAUCCCAGUUUUAGCAAAAAAUGGAAACGACAAAAUAACCUGACUGUUUGGAUUUCUCAGUGCAGAAACUGAAUUUGAGGCCUGUGAAUGACCACUAAUACACUUUUUUUUUUUAACCAUUUUAGGACUGCCAUGUUGACAGAGCUCUAGAGAGUUGCAUUGUUCUUACAAAUAGUGCAGACUCUAUUAUACCCUCUCAGAAUGGAAGAGUUAGGUCUCCAAGAACCUAACCAAUUGCUGGGCCACUUUGACAAUGAAGAAAAUGAGUCCCUUGGGUUAAAUAAAAGGUACUGAAUCUAAGGACCCCUGAAUCCAUUCCGUUUCAAUGAUGGCAUUUUGCUUCCUGAUUUAGUAGAAAUGAAAGGAAGGAAUACACUUAAAUAAAUAUUCUCAUUCAA